AUGCUUAAAAUCAAAAAAAGCAGAAAAGGAAAAAACCCAGAAAAAAUGUACAAUAUAGUCGCCUUUUCCUCUCUGACUGGUUUGAUUUUGUCAU
rnacentral:ribozyme from 14 species